AUGGUACUCUUGAGUUCAACCUCCAUUUAUACCCCUCCUCCAUCAACAAGCGCAUCUCUUGCACAGACGUUGACUUGGCAAUGUCUAGACACUGAAAGGUCUACCUCUAGUCAUUGUGUGUAUGUUGGUGAUAAUUUAAUCUCCGUAGUCCGCAAAACGUCAACAUACCUUGUCUCGAUCAAGCGCUAA